UUCCCACUCAAUUAUUUUUGGUCUUUUUCUUGGUUUUACUGUGUUGGCCUUUCAUCAAACAAUUUUCCACUGAAAUGUUUAUAGAGAUUGUUAUGAAUUUACUCAUUGCUGUAGAAAUUUUAUAUGAAUUCCUGAUUUAAAUAGGAAGGGUGCACUCUGGAUUAAUUUCAAAAGAGAAUUGGGUUAAUAUUCUCGAACCAGGACAUGGUGGUGGACGACAAUGUUAGGAAAUCUGGAGAUGUCAUCGAGGGCCUGGGAAAAUUUAUAUAUUUUUUUUAACGAAUUUAUGACCCUAAAAUCGGUUCAACCGGAGAUAGGGUCCAACAUAUGGAAGAGCACCACAUGUCUUGCGGUGUUUGGUUCCCCCUCAGUGGCCAUUAAAAAUAUGGAGAACCGAGUACCAUCCAUGCCCGAUCGUAUUCAUAUCUGCCUCCUUGGAUUUUUCAAUGUCCACUAGGUUAGCAAUCU
rnacentral:ncRNA from 1 species